AAAGUUUGAUCAGAGCAGGAAGCCUAAAAAAUGGUUUUUCUGUUUAUAAUAUAUCCAGUAGGAACUGGGUUCAUUGACAAGGGCCAUGAAAGUCUUGACCUAACCAUGAACACAUAACCCUACUCU
ensembl:snoRNA